rnacentral:rRNA from 1 species
UUAAAUUGAAGAGUUUGAUCAUGGCUCAGAUUGAACGCUGGCGGCAGGCCUAACACAUGCAAGUCGAACGGUAACAGGAAGCAGCUUGCUGCUUCGCUGACGAGUGGCGGACGGGUGAGUAAUGUCUGGGAAACUGCCUGAUGGAGGGGGAUAACUACUGGAAACGGUAGCUAAUACCGCAUAACGUCGCAAGACCAAAGAGGGGGACCUUCGGGCCUCUUGCCAUCGGAUGUGCCCAGAUGGGAUUAGCUAGUAGGUGGGGUAACGGCUCACCUAGGCGACGAUCCCUAGCUGGUCUGAGAGGAUGACCAGCCACACUGGAACUGAGACACGGUCCAGACUCCUACGGGAGGCAGCAGUGGGGAAUAUUGCACAAUGGGCGCAAGCCUGAUGCAGCCAUGCCGCGUGUAUGAAGAAGGCCUUCGGGUUGUAAAGUACUUUCAGCGGGGAGGAAGGGAGUAAAGUUAAUACCUU